UACGUAGGGUGCAAGCGUUGUCCGGAAUUAUUGGGCGUAAAGAGCUCGUAGGCGGUUUGUCGCGUCUGCUGUGAAAACGCGAGGCUCAACCUCGCGCCUGCAGUGGGUACGGGCAGACUAGAGUCCGGAAGAGGAGAGUGGAAUUCCCGGUGUAGCGGUGAAAUGCGCAGAUAUCGGGAAGAACACCCGUGGCGAAGGCGGCUCUCUGGGACGGUACUGACGCUGAGACGCGAAAGCGUGGGGAGCGAACAGG
rnacentral:rRNA from 1 species